rnacentral:lncRNA from 1 species
GUUUAAUUGUACUGGUAAUUAGAAAAAUGCAUUUAAACCACAGAGAGAUGCAAGGGCAUGCUGGUCAUUCUGGAAACAUUUUUUUCAAAGUCCGACAAUAAGCAUCAGUAGGAAUGUCUAGUUAUGGACACAUCUUGGUUGAAAGCCCCUGCAUUUCCGCUUCCGGGUGACAGACCCUGCAUUUCCACUUCCGGGUGACGGACACUGCAUCUCCACUUCCGGGUGACGGGCCCUGAAUUUCCACUUCUGGGUGAUGGACCCGGCAUUUUCACCUCUGGUGUUGGCUGCGAAGAAGCCCCAGCACAUAUGCACAAGAGACAUGUACAAUGCUAAUCCAGAACAGCAGUGUUUAACUGUGUAGAAGAUGGGAAAUGACCUAAUAGACAUUUCAUGGGAUUAUCCACAGUGGCGAAAGGGAGACUUCGGGAGCAGUGUGCAUGAAGAGGGGAUUGUUUUUGUGGAGACACGUCUGGUAUUUCAGGGAAAUAAGAAAGUAAUAACAGAUGUAAAGUCAAGGUCAACCUCUGAAUAAAUCAAACAGAUGGCGGGCCAAGCUUUCUAAAUGGCUGGAGAUAAGCAUAUUCAAUGGAACCUUGAAGAAUCUCUUGCUUUCUGUAAAAACCGCAUAUUAAUGAUUAAAAAUGCAUUGCCCUGCAAACUCAGAAGUU